GCUGCAACCCGCCCUGCAUGAAGUCGGAAUUNCUAGUAAUCGCGGAUCAGCAUGCCGCGGUGAAUACGUUCCCGGGCCUUGUACACACCGCCCGUCACACCAUGGGAGCCGGUAAUACCCGAAGUCAGUAGUCCAACCACGUGAGGACGCUGCCGAAGGUAGGAUUGGCGACUGGGGUGAAGUCGUAACAAGGUAAC
rnacentral:rRNA from 1 species